AGGUUUUCCUAGCAAGGUCGGAUCCAUUGCGAUAGCUGUUCUUCAGGUUAGCAAAUGACAUUACCAUUUGAUAUCAGAUUAAAACAUUGCACUGGUGCAUUAUACAACCCAGGUAAAUGUUUGGCAGAUCUUAAUGGCUAUUCUCGGAGUACUCUUCAUCGGUAAGUUCGGACGACGACCACUUCUGCUGAUAUCAGCAGGUGGAACAUGCUUGGGAUGUGUCAUUACAGGACUUCCAUUCUUCCUGCAGGAUUUUCAUGCAAGCAAGGAACUAACAGCCACAUUGGUG